GAUGAAGAACGCAGCGAAAUGCGAUAAGUAAUGUGAAUUGCAGAAUUCAGUGAAUCAUCGAAUCUUUGAACGCACAUUGCGCCCGCCAGUAUUCUGGCGGGCAUGCCUGUUCGAGCGUCAUUUCAACCAUCAAGCCCUGCUUGCGUUGGGGUCCUGCGGCUGCCCGCAGGCCCUGAAAACCAGUGGCGGGCUCGCUAGUCACACCGAGCGCAGUAAUACAUCUCGCUUUGGGCGUGCGGCGGGUUCUUGCCGUUAAACACCCCCUUUUUACCAAGGUUGACCUCGGAUCUGGUAGGAAUACCCGCUGAACUUAAGCAUAUCAAUAAGCGGAGGA
rnacentral:misc_RNA from 1 species